UACGGAGGGAGCUAGCGUUGUUCGGAAUUACUGGGCGUAAAGCGCACGUAGGCGGAUUUGUAAGUCAGGGGUGAAAUCCCGAGGCUCAACCUCGGAACUGCCUUUGAUACUGCAAAUCUCGAGUCCGGAAGAGGUGAGUGGAAUUCCUAGUGUAGAGGUGAAAUUCGUAGAUAUUGGGAGGAACACCAGUGGCGAAGGCGGCUCACUGGACCGGAACUGACGCUGAGGCGCGAAAGCGUGGGGAGCAAACAGG
rnacentral:rRNA from 1 species